GACAGAGGGUGCAAACGUUGUUCGGAAUUACUGGGCGUAAAGCGCGUGUAGGCGGCCCUACAAGUCGGAUGUGAAAUCCCACGGCUCAACCGUGGAAGUGCAUUCGAAACUGCAGGGCUAGAGUCCUGGAGAGGAAGGUGGAAUGCUUGGUGUAGAGGUGAAAUUCGUAGAUAUCAAGCGGAACACCGGUGGCGAAGGCGGCCUUCUGGACAGUGACUGACGCUGAGACGCGAAAGCGUGGGGAGCAAACAGG
rnacentral:rRNA from 1 species